CCCAGCCUGUGGCAGAAUGACUGGAGCCCUCUGCGAAGCACCUGCCGCAGCAUCCUCCACCAGAUCCAGCUCGCAGGCGCUCCCGGCCGUCUUAAAAAGCACAUGUGACAUGUACAAGGCAUGCAGACCAAACAAGAUUCAGAUGAAGAAGAAACGGCUUCAGCCUGUAUGUGUCUUCAAAGAGUGAAGAAGCCUUUCCCAGAAGACUCCCUGUGGAGUUCUUGUGGGAACUGGCAUGGCAGAUGGAUAUUUGGAUCUGAGAAGGAAAGGGAAUUCAGGUAUUUUCCAGACCAAUACCAAUGAACUAAGAGUCCAUGUCUGCUAUGAGGCGGGAACAGCAAAAUUGUGUAAAUGAGAAGUGGCAUUUGUAUUUUUCCCAUUAGCUUUUCUUACUUUAAUCUUGAGUGAGUUUCAGAUUAAUAAGGUGAGAGACUAUCUAUGGAGAAAAAUAUAACACCUGUAAAAAGAUAAAUCAUUUCUACCAUACAUUCUUUUUUAAGGCCCCAAGCAGUUUUAAAUUUAUUAAUAUCUUCAUAUACUUUCCAUCACAAUUUGUAGUCCAAUAUUUGGCUUUUGUAGCAAAUUCCAGACAAUUGAAGAAAAUGAUGAAAUCUAUUUUAAUUAAAUGUAUUUGAAAUCUGGAGCACAGAUUCCCCUCCCUCCUCUCCUCCCAUUCCCUUCCCCACCUCCACUCUGCACCAACCUCCCAAUCCACCCCUUGCCUGUUUUUGUUAAGAAAGGGGCGGGCCUCCCAUUGAGAUCAACAAAGCAUGGCAUAUCAAGUUGCAGUAAGAAUAAGCACCUCCUCUUGUAUUAAGGCUGGGCAAGGCAACCAAG